UUAAGCGACUAAGCGUACACGGUGGAUGCCCUGGCAGUCAGAGGCGAUGAAGGACGUGCUAAUCUGCGAUAAGCGUCGGUAAGGUGAUAUGAACCGUUAUAACCGGCGAUUUCCGAAUGGGGAAACCCAGUGUGAUUCGUCACACUAUCAUUAACUGAAUCCAUAGGUUAAUGAGGCGAACCGGGGGAACUGAAACAUCUAAGUACCCCGAGGAAAAGAAAUCAACCGAGAUUCCCCCAGUAGCGGCGAGCGAACGGGGAGCAGCCCAGAGCCUGAAUCAGUGUGUGUGUUAGUGGAAGCGUCUGGAAAGGCGUGCGAUACAGGGUGACAGCCCCGUACACAAAAAUGCACAUAUUGUGAGCUCGAUGAGUAGGGCGGGACACGUGGUAUCCUGUCUGAAUAUGGGGGGACCAUCCUCCAAGGCUAAAUACUCCUGACUGACCGAUAGUGAACCAGUACCGUGAGGGAAAGGCGAAAAGAACCCCGGCGAGGGGAGUGAAAAAGAACCUGAAACCGUGUACGUACAAGCAGUGGGAGCACGCUUAGGCGUGUGACUGCGUACCUUUUGUAUAAUGGGUCAGCGACUUAUAUUCUGUAGCAAGGUUAACCGAAUAGGGGAGCCGAAGGGAAACCGAGUCUUAACUGGGCGUUAAGUUGCAGGGUAUAGACCCGAAACCCGGUGAUCUAGCCAUGGGCAGGUUGAAGGUUGGGUAACACUAACUGGAGGACCGAACCGACUAAUGUUGAAAAAUUAGCGGAUGACUUGUGGCUGGGGGUGAAAGGCCAAUCAAACCGGGAGAUAGCUGGUUCUCCCCGAAAGCUAUUUAGGUAGCGCCUCGUGAAUUCAUCUCCGGGGGUAGAGCACUGUUUCGGCAAGGGUCAUCCCGACUUACCAACCCGAUGCAAACUGCGAAUACCGGAGAAUGUUAUCACGGGAGACACACGGCGGGUGCUAACGUCCGUCGUGAAGAGGAAACAACCCAGACCGCCAGCUAAGGUCCCAAAGUCAUGGUUAAGUGGGAAACGAUGUGGAAGGCCCAGACAGCCGGAUGUUGGCUUAGAAGCAGCCAUCAUUUAAAGAAAGCGUAAUAGCUCACUGGUCGAGUCGGCCUGCGCGGAAGAUGUAACGGGCUAAACCAUGCACCGAAGCUGCGGCAGCGACGCUGAUGCGUUGUUGGGUAGGGAGCGUUCUGUAAGCCUGCGAAGGUGUGCUGUGAGGCAUGCUGGAGGUAUCAGAAGUGCGAAUGCUGACAUAAGUAACGAUAAAGCGGGUGAAAAGCCGCUCGCCGGAAGACCAAGGGUUCCUGUCCAACGUUAAUCGGGCAGGGUGAGUCGACCCCUAAGGCGAGGCCGAAAGGCGUAGUCGAUGGGAAACAGGUUAAUAUUCCUGUACUUGGUGUUACUGCGAAGGGGGGACGGAGAAGGCUAUGUUGGCCGGGCGACGGUUGUCCCGGUUUAAGCGUGUAGGCUGGUUUUCCAGGCAAAUCCGGAAAAUCAAGGCUGAGGCGUGAUGACGAGGCACUACGGUGCUGAAGCAACAAAUGCCCUGCUUCCAGGAAAAGCCUCUAAGCAUCAGGUAACAUCAAAUCGUACCCCAAACCGACACAGGUGGUCAGGUAGAGAAUACCAAGGCGCUUGAGAGAACUCGGGUGAAGGAACUAGGCAAAAUGGUGCCGUAACUUCGGGAGAAGGCACGCUGAUAUGUAGGUGAAGUCCCUCGCGGAUGGAGCUGAAAUCAGUCGAAGAUACCAGCUGGCUGCAACUGUUUAUUAAAAACACAGCACUGUGCAAACACGAAAGUGGACGUAUACGGUGUGACGCCUGCCCGGUGCCGGAAGGUUAAUUGAUGGGGUCAGCGCAAGCGAAGCUCUUGAUCGAAGCCCGGUAAACGGCGGCCGUAACUAUAACGGUCCUAAGGUAGCGAAAUUCCUUGUCGGGUAAGUUCCGACCUGCACGAAUGGCGUAAUGAUGGCCAGGCUGUCUCCACCCGAGACUCAGUGAAAUUGAACUCGCUGUGAAGAUGCAGUGUACCCGCGGCAAGACGGAAAGACCCCGUGAACCUUUACUAUAGCUUGACACUGAACAUUGAGCCUUGAUGUGUAGGAUAGGUGGGAGGCUUUGAAGUGUGGACGCCAGUCUGCAUGGAGCCGACCUUGAAAUACCACCCUUUAAUGUUUGAUGUUCUAACGUUGACCCGUAAUCCGGGUUGCGGACAGUGUCUGGUGGUAGUUUGACUGGGCGGUCUCCUCCUAAAGAGUAACGGAGGAGCACGAAGGUUGGCUAAUCGGUCGGACAUCAGGAGGUUAGUGCAAUGGCAUAAGCCAGCUUGACUGCGAGCGUGACGGCGCGAGCAGGUGCGAAAGCAGGUCAUAGUGAUCCGGUGGUUCUGAAUGGAAGGGCCAUCGCUCAACGGAUAAAGGUACUCCGGGAUAACAGGCUGAUACCGCCCAAGAGUUCAUAUCGACGGCGGUGUUUGGCACCUCGAUGUCGGCUCAUCACAUCCUGGGGCUGAAGUAGGUCCCAAGGGUAUGGCUGUUCGCCAUUUAAAGUGGUACGCGAGCUGGGUUUAGAACGUCGUGAGACAGUUCGGUCCCUAUCUGCCGUGGGCGCUGGAGAACUGAGGGGGGCUGCUCCUAGUACGAGAGGACCGGAGUGGACGCAUCACUGGUGUUCGGGUUGUCAUGCCAAUGGCACUGCCCGGUAGCUAAAUGCGGAAGAGAUAAGUGCUGAAAGCAUCUAAGCACGAAACUUGCCCCGAGAUGAGUUCUCCCUGACUCCUUGAGAGUCCUGAAGGAACGUUGAAGACGACGACGUUGAUAGGCCGGGUGUGUAAGCGCAGCGAUGCGUUGAGCUAACCGGUACUAAUGAACCGUGAGGCUUAACCU
rnacentral:rRNA from 1 species